rnacentral:rRNA from 1 species
UGGAGGACCGAACCGACUAAUGUUGAAAAAUUAGCGGAUGACUUGUGGCUGGGGGUGAAAGGCCAAUCAAACCGGGAGAUAGCUGGUUCUCCUCGAAAGCUAUUUAGGUAGCGCCUCGCGUCUAACUAUUGGGGGUAGAGCACUGUUAAGGCUAGGGGGUCAUCCCGACUUACCAACCCUUUGCAAACUCCGAAUACCAAUAAGUUCAAUCGCGGGAGACACACGGCGGGUGCUAACGUCCGUCGUGGAAAGGGAAACAACCCAGACCGUCAGCUAAGGUCCCAAAGUGUAUGUUAAGUGGGAAACGAUGUGGAAAGGCUCAGACAGCCAGGAAGUUGGCUUAGAAGCAGCCAUCUUUUAAAGAAAGCGUAAUAGCUCACUGGUCGAGUCGGUCUGCGCGGAAGAUUUAACGGGGCUAAACAUACCACCGAAGCUACGGAUGCAUACUUGUAUGCAUGGUAGAGGAGCGUUCUGUAAGCCGUUGAAGGUGAGUUGAGAAGCUUGCUGGAGGUAUCAGAAGUGCGAAUGUUGACAUGAGUAACGAUAAUGGGGGUGAAAAACCUCCACGCCGAAAGACCAAGGGUUCCUGUCCAACGUUAAUCGGGGCAGGGUGAGUCGACUCCUAAGGCGAGGCCGAAAGGCGUAGUCGAUGGGAAACUGGUUAAUAUUCCAGUACUCACUUAUAUUGCGAUGGGGUGACGGAGAAGGUUAGACUAGCAUGGCGAUGGUUGUCCAUGUUUAAGGCAGUAGGCAAGUGACUUAGGCAAAUCCGGGUCGCUCUCUUUAAUGAGAAUGCUGAGAGCUGAUGACGAGUCUCUACGGAGAUGAAGUAGUUGAUACCCGGCUUCCAGGAAAAACCUCUAAGCUUCAGAUAUAAGAGAAUCGUACCCCAAACCGACACAGGUGGUUAGGUAGAGAAUACUAAGGCGCUUGAGAGAACUCGGGUGAAGGAACUAGGCAAAAUGGUACCGUAACUUCGGGAGAAGGUACGCCGAUGGUGGUGAAGGACUUGCUCCGUAAGCUACUGUCGGUCGCAGAGAAAUGGUGGCUGCAACUGUUUAUUAAAAACACAGCACUGUGCAAAAUCGAAAGAUGACGUAUACGGUGUGACGCCUGCCCGGUGCCGGAAGGUUAAUUGAUUGGGUUAGACUUAGGUCGAAGCUCAUGAUCGAAGCCCCGGUAAACGGCGGCCGUAACUAUAACGGUCCUAAGGUAGCGAAAUUCCUUGUCGGGUAAGUUCCGACCUGCACGAAUGGCGUAAUGAUGGCCACGCUGUCUCCAGCCGAGACUCAGUGAAG